rnacentral:lncRNA from 10 species
AAGGAGUUCAAUCCCCAUAGCUUUUCAGUGCCAUUUCUCAGGUCCCAACAGGUUCACUGAUUUGCCAAGAAGAAGCACCAAUGGGUCAGAGGCUGAGCGUGAACGGAAUUCAUUCUCCCGAUGCCAGGGUCCCUCCCUCACCUCCCACUGCUCAGUAGACAGGUCUCUCUGCAGAAGGGAAAAGGGAGGGUUGAGGGUUUAGAGGGUUUAGACAGUGAAAAGGCAGGAAGAGUAAUCAUGACAGAAGAGAUUUACUGCAGCCUUCUUCUCCUUUCUUUUUGCAUUAAGGACAAGCGUCGCCUGCACACGUCAGCACAAAUGGGAACAUGAUGAGUGAUGCUGCCUGGAGUUAAAGGAGGCCAGGAGCACCAGAAGCUGGAGGAGGCCGGGGUGGAUUCUCGCCUGGAGGCUUCAGUGGGAGCACGAGCUCCCGACACUUCGGUUCCAUCUCUUGUUUAAAGGCACCCAGUUUCUCAUCAUUUGUUACAGCACCAUGGAAAACCCACACACAAGUGAAGCCCCGACCCACCUCCCAAGUGCCCAUCUGAGCACCCCUCGUGGACUCUGAGCAGGGGGUUGCCAUCACCAACUCCAAGUCUUGCAGCCCCUCUUCCCUUCAGUCUGGCUGCCACCUUCUUCAUUGCCCUGGAAAAAAAUAAUGAAGUUUCACCAUUUAAAGGGUUUCAGUGCAGCUUGCUAUGGGAACACUGGAGAGUAACACAAAUGGCCAAUUGUCCUAAUAGCCACCAUGGAUUGGAUGGAUGCUAACAACAGGCUCACAGUUCUCCUUCUGUUGCCUCCUUUUAUCCACAUGAGAAUCAAACAAGACUACUGAUUAAAUGAAGCCUUUGAUGAAGUGCAUGCAGUUUGUAGCUUGAUUCAUGGGAAUACUCAUCACAGACUGAAAGUGUAACCCAGGGUCUCUGGGUUUUUGGGAACGCGCUGUGUAAAAGUAUCUACUUGUAACUGUUACUCCCUGAGUUGUUGUUGUUUUAGAAAGUUCCAAGAAGAAGCUUAGCCUUGGAAAAAACAAAAACUGGUUGAAUCCAGAAGUGGAGAUGAAUUUUGGCCAACGCUCCUCACUGCCACACUAAAAACCCUGCUCAGAGAGGAGCUUAUUCACCAUGUUCUAUUCAUGCAAUGUGUGUGGAAACAUGAUCUACGACAGCAUGCGUGCUGCCUUCACCCUACCUCUACAUACAAUGACUCAUUUAACCUGCUGAAUAAAAGCCCUGUUUUCACCUUUGCUGGGGGAGGUGCCGCUUUGGGAACUAUUCGCAGUGUCCUCUUCACUUUUUGCAAGUAAUAGAAUACCCUUGUUAAAUCCUACUUGGUUGUGGUCAUUAUAGUGUCACCCGCCAAGCAAUCGAUCCCACCCAGGGUUAACAAAUGCGGGAUAACAAAUGUCAGGUUUUAGGCAAGUUACUUACUCGCUCAAAAUAUGAAGAUAUAAGUUACCAUCAGUUGUCAAUCAUGGUGAGCUUUGCUCUGCUGCAGUAACAGACAAUCGUAACUCUUAGUAGCUCUAAAUGACCAGUUUAAAUAACACCUCGUCUUUGUAGUUUUGAUAGCGACAGGAGGCAGCCAAAUGCCUAGGCAGGUAGGGGCAGGUUCCCCGUGAAACUCCAUCUCCAAGCCGAAGACAGUUUAGAGCCUGAAAGCCAAGCUCCACAUUAAAUCCUCCGACUGGAUUGAGAACUUGUCUUCCUGUUUAGUGUGCUUUUCUCUCAUUGGUCCCUGCCAUUCACCUAUUUCAUAUACACCUAACCUUUUCUAAUUGGUUUUCUAUACUGUCAUGCCCAACUUUGAGUGGUCUUUGCUUUAACCUUUUCUACAUAUUCACAAACCGAUCAGCAUGCACCCCCCAUUCUGAGUCCAUGAAAGGCUCUGGAUCUAGCCACACAGAGGAACUUUCCCAUCUUCAGGUAGGGGGGCCACCACCAACAUGUCCCCUCUCCACCAAAAGCUGUUUUCAUUGUUCAAUAAAAUUCUUCUCUGCCUUCCUCACCCUUCAAUGUCCAGCAUAUCCUCAUUCUUCUUGGGCAUGGUACAAGAGCACAGGAACCACUGAAGGUGGGUACAAGUUAUAAUACAGGCAAGUGGGGGCAUGCCAGCUUUGGCUGAGUGAGGACCAGGUCGAGCAUUACUGUCAGGGGAUCCCUGGCUUGCAAAGUGACCAAGAAGAAAAGUCUUACAUUAGUUUGGCUAGGGUGAGGCCCUGACCUCUGUUACCUUCACUCGGCCAGCUCACUGAUGGUGACUCUGUAUUGAUAGGCACUCCACCCAGAAAUUGUGCACUGACAUUUCCUGGCCAACGAAAGUUACUCAACUAUGCCUGAUUUUAAACUGCAAUCCUAACAUGACCCAGAAGGUGAAGAGCCAGAAAUAUUUGAUGACUACACUGAGCCCACUUUCCCUCACAGGCUUGUUUUGCAGGGUUAAUGAUUUAAGCCAUGUGAUGUAUGGUUCACAGGGUGCCUGGCACCUGCCAAGUAUUCUUCCCCCAGGAGUUGGCAGGUCCUUGAAGGCACUCUCUGGUUUAGAUAUUCUUAGCUCCUUCCACUGUUCCUCAUGCUACAUUAUCUUAAAUCUUUUUAUUUUUACCAUCCUGGUUCGUCUCCUCUAAAAAUCCUACCCAAAUGUCCCUGUUAAUUCAUGAUCCACCAGAAACAAACAAUCUUCCAGCUGAAUACAGAACCCAAGAGAACAAAAUGAUCUCCUUCCUUCUUCUAGAUUAUGCAUCCUAAAAUCUGACUGUUUUUUCUUUUCUGGCAAUCAGAGUGCACUGUUGAAUUUACUGUCAAUUAAACAUUCUCCAUCUCUUCUAUGUAUUUUUCUGUAUUUAGACAUUUUUCUCCAAUCCCAUACUUGUGUCAUUAGCUUUUCAGUCACAAAUAAAAGAAGUUUCACAUUGUUCCUUAUUAAAGAGCAUCUGUUUGACUUGGCCCAUUCUUCCCAGCAGUUAUAAUUCAGACCAAGGUUGUUCUCAUCCAACAUUCAAACAAACACUAUGGAAUGGGAGAGGUAUGAAAGCAUUCAUCCCGACAAACAAUGGUCUCACCAUUUUGGAAGGCAUCUUUUUUACUUCAUUUUUUAACAGCUGUAUUAAUAUGUAACUGAGGUACAAUAAACUGAAUACAUUUAAAGGGUACAAUUUUUAUAAGUGUGGACCUUUGAAUACACCCAUGGAAC